UAUUUACAAAAUGAAUCAAAAUAUUUUUUUAAAUUGAGGACUCAAUAAAAUAACAAACAGCUGGAAAGAAGCAGACUACUGUAAGAGUGAAUUGAAAAGAAAACCCAAUGUAUGGAAGAAUCAAAGCCAACAAUUAUACUGAGGUUCACUGACCUCAUGAAAAUACAUGGAAACAUGAGAACGAAGCUAUAUUGCAAAAAUGUCCAAAGUAACCCUAAGAGCUGGCUCAUGGCACUGUUACAUAGUUCUGCUUAAGUCGCGGCCAACCAAGAUUUCACGACAAAAACGGAAGGUUUUUGUUCUAGUUCAAGAAAAAAAUAUCAAACCUACCUCUGCUCAGCUUGGCUUCUAGUUCAGAGGUUCCUCUGUUAAUCAAAAGAGCUGAAAUCCACCUUUAAUGCUGUUCAGUGGUUAAAGACCAAGCUUAAAAUGUCCCUGCUCUUGAGGAUUUAAAUUUAGACCCAUAAAGAGGUACUUGUGUAAAAACCAUCAAGAACAUUCAAUUUGUUCUAUUUGGAGAAAGAUUUUACUGGAAAUAUAAAUUUCACUUAAAAAAUGUUUUAUGGAGUACAGAGGUGGAGAAACCAUCUAAAGAACACAACUGUUAUUUCUGUGAACUAAGGGUGUCUGUGCUCAAGUCAGAACCUGCUGGUUCUUUUCCAUCUGAAGUCUUCAUUCUCUCCUCGUGUUAAGUUAGUCACCUCCACAGCAACUAAUUGAAAUAUCCCAAAGGACUAUAACCUUGUGUGAGGAGUCACGGGGAGGAGCACGUCACAUUCUAACACUGCAAAGUUUCUUAUCCAAGUUUCUCUAAUAAUAGUGUUGGACCUAAAAAUCGAUCAAAUGUUGUAACAGGGGUUGCUAACACAACUUUCUGUAAAUGGCAAGUCUUCCAGUGUCUGUGUUCUACCAACAUUUCUAGGUCACAUCUCCCAAAAAGCAACAAUGUCACACAGGAUUAAGGAGAUGUCAGAUUUGUUUGUUUUUGCCUGGUGAGUUUUCUAUGAACUCUAUCAGUUUUGUUACCAAUAUCCAUCACCAAACAAUUUUGGAAAAUAAAGAAGCCAAUUUCCCUUUAACAUUCGUAGGGUUGGAAAAACCUAGAUGUCUACAGGAGCUGGGCAGCGAUAUAAAAUGGGAAGACAUGUCAAGGUGUUAGGGCUUUACUGGUACCAAUUGGUUGUUGCCAUUCACCAGUGCUGGCCCAGUAGAACUAUGUCAUUUUCCCCUUCUCACAAGAAGCUGAAAAUCUGAACUUUGAAGCAGGACUGUCUAGGUUUAAAACUUUAGCAACCAGUUCAAAAAUAUUUAAAACUCUGCAUGGGUCCAAAACUGUGUAUGGCCCAGGCCCAGUGGGUGGGCUGCCAUUUCUAUGACUUCAGGUGUAAAGCAACACCUGGACAAUAACUAAAGGAAAUAAUGAACAAAGUUAAUGGGGUCAUUCCCUGAGUUUACAGUUUCUGUGGCAUUUAAAGGCUGCUUCAAGUUCACGCUGCCCCAUCUCUGAUACGGACAGGUCAACGUGUUUCCUGGUAUGCGACAGGAAACAGGACAAUCGAAAGCGAGGGGGCACGGUGGAACUUUGAAGGGGUCCAAAUAGUAGAGGUGAACUGCUCUUCUAGUAUCAUUCUAAUAAUGUAACUCAUUAGAGGAAAGUCAAACACAUCCCAUUUACUUGAAAGGGCAGAAGAGACGCGUCCCAAUGGACACGUGGAGGCCAUUACCUAAUU